rnacentral:rRNA from 1 species
UUGACCUCGAAUCAGGUAGGAAUACCCGCUGAACUUAAGCAUAUCAAUAAGCGGAGGAAAAGAAACCAACCGGGAUUACCUCAGUAACGGCGAGUGAAGCGGUAACAGCUCAAAUUUGAAAUCUGGCUCUUGCGGAGUCCGAGUUGUAAUUUGUAGAAGAUGCUUUGGGUUGUGGGUUCGGCCUAAGUUCCUUGGAACAGGACGUCAUAGAGGGUGAGAAUCCCGUAUGUGGCCGAGGCCCGCGCCUAUGUAAAGCUCUUUCAACGAGUCGAGUUGUUUGGGAAUGCAGCUCAAAAUGGGUGGUAAAUUUCAUCUAAAGCUAAAUAUGGGCCAGAGACCGAUAGCGCACAAGUAGAGUGAUCGAAAGAUGAAAAGCACUUUGGAAAGAGAGUUAAACAGUACGUGAAAUUGUUGAAAGGGAAGCGCUUGCAACCAGACUUGGGCGCUGCCGAUCACCUUGAGUUUUCUCGAGUGCACUCGACAGCGCACAGGCCAGCAUCGGUUCGGGUGGCUGGAUAAAGGCCGUAGGAAUGUGGCUCUCUUCGGGGAGUGUUAUAGCCUACGGUGCCAUGCAGCCCAGCCGGACCGAGGACCGCGCCUUCGGGCUAGGAUGCUGGCGUAAUGGUUGUAAGCGACCCGUCUUGAAACACGGACCAAGGAGUCUAACAUCUAUGCGAGUGUUUGGGUGGUAAACCCAUACGCGGAAUGAAAGUGAACGUAGGUGAGAACCCCUUUGGGGCGCAUCAUCGACCGAUCCUGAUGUCUU